AUGGAGUCACACGGAGAGGACCUGCCACCACCACCACCACUCCCGCCAAAUGCAGAGCCGAUAAAAGCUGAGUCGGCUGAUGACUUGCCACCACCACCACCCCUGCUGCCUAUCAAACCUGAAGAAGCAAAGAAGAUCUCAAAGCCUAAGAGGGCCCUGAUCGCUCGUCCUGGUUUUGGCAAGAGGGGAAAUCCUAUACAGCUUGUGACAAAUCAUUUCAAAGUCUCGUUGAAGACGACAGACGAGUUCUUCCAUCAUUACUAUGUAAAUCUGAAGUAUGAAGAUGACAGGCCUGUUGAUGGAAAAGGUGUUGGUAGAAAAGUCAUUGAUAAGCUUGCUCAGACUUAUCCAUCGGAACUAGCCCAUAAAGACUUUGCCUAUGAUGGUGAAAAGAGUCUUUUUACCAUUGGUGCCCUCCCACAAAUUAACAAUGAGUUUGUUGUGGUUCUUGAAGAUGUUUCCAGUGGAAAGACUCCUGCAAAUGGCAGCCCUGGAAACGACAGUCCAGACAAGAAGAGAGUGAAAAGGCCAUAUCAAACUAAAACCUUCAAGGUGGAGUUGAGCUUUGCUGCUAGAAUCCCCAUGAGUGCUAUUGCAAUGGCACUCAAAGGCCAGGAAUCAGAGCACACGCAAGAAGCCAUUCGGGUUAUUGAUAUCAUAUUAAGACAGCACUCUGCCAAACAGGGCUGCCUGUUAGUCCGCCAGUCAUUUUUUCACAACAAUCCUUCAAACUUUGUGGACUUGGGUGGGGGUGUGAUGGGCUGCCGAGGUUUCCACUCAAGCUUUCGAGCCACACAGAGCGGGCUUUCUCUUAAUAUUGAUGUUUCUACAACAAUGAUUGUGAAACCUGGCCCUGUUGUCGAUUUUCUGCUGGCCAACCAGAAGGUUGACCACCCUAAUAAAAUUGAUUGGGCUAAGGCCAAGCGUGCACUUAAGAAUUUAAGGAUAAAAACAAGCCCAGCAAAUACAGAAUACAAGAUUGUUGGUUUGAGUGAGAGGAAUUGUUAUGAACAAAUGUUUUCCCUCAAGCAAAGGAAUGGUGGGAAUGGUGACCCUGAAGCAAUAGAAAUAUCUGUUUAUGAUUACUUUGUGAAGAACCGUGGCAUUGAGCUGAGGUACUCUGGUGAUUUCCCUUGUAUAAAUGUUGGGAAACCUAGGCGGCCAACAUAUUUUCCCAUUGAGCUCUGCCAGCUGGUCCCUUUACAAAGGUAUACCAAAUCUUUGAGUACCCUACAAAGAUCAUCUCUUGUUGAGAAGUCCAGGCAGAAGCCUCAAGAGAGGAUGUCAGUUUUGUCUGAUGUACUGAAACGCAGCAGCUAUGAUACAGAACCCAUGUUGAAGGCAUGUGGAAUUUCGAUAGCUCAGGGCUUUACACAGGUGGCUGGUAGGGUACUGCAGGCCCCCAAGCUCAAAGCUGGAAAUGGUGAAGAUAUUUUCACAAGGAAUGGACGUUGGAAUUUCAACAACAAGAGGCUUGCUAGAGCUUGUGUGGUGGACAGAUGGGCAGUUGUAAACUUUUCGGCUAGGUGUAACACCAUGAACCUUGUCAAUGACCUCAUCAAGUGUGGGGGCAUGAAGGGCAUUACAGUAGAAAAACCUCAUAUUGUAAUUGAAGAGAAUGGUUCAAUGAGACGUGCACCUGCUCCAAAAAGGGUUGAGGAUAUGUUUGAGCAAGUGAAGUCUAAGCUUCCUGGGGCUCCGAAGUUUCUCUUGUGUAUUCUUGCUGAGAGGAAGAACUCAGAUGUUUAUGGUCCAUGGAAGCGAAAAUGCCUUGCUGACUUUGGGAUUGUCACUCAAUGUGUGGCCCCAACAAGGGUCAAUGACCAAUAUCUGACAAAUGUUCUGCUGAAGAUCAAUGCAAAACUUGGUGGAAUGAACUCACUACUACAAAUUGAAAUGUCCCCAAGUAUACCUCUUGUAUCAAAGGUCCCAACUCUCAUCUUGGGAAUGGAUGUGUCCCAUGGAUCCCCUGGACAGUCUGAUAUACCGUCCAUUGCAGCAGUUGUUGGUUCUCGGGAAUGGCCUCUUGUCUCGAAAUAUAGGGCUUCAGUGCGCUCGCAGUCACCAAAGCUCGAAAUGAUAGAUUCAUUGUUCAAGCCACAAGGAACUGAUGAUGAUGGCCUUGUUCGGGAGUGUCUCAUUGACUUCUACACCAGUUCUGGAAAAAGGAAACCAGAUCAGAUCAUCAUCUUCAGGGAUGGUGUUAGUGAGAGCCAGUUUAAUCAGGUGCUGAACAUUGAAUUGGAUCAAAUAAUUGAGGCCUGCAAGUUCUUGGAUGAAAAUUGGAACCCCAAGUUCACGCUGAUUGUUGCCCAGAAAAAUCACCACACCAAAUUCUUCAUACCUGGAUCUCCUGACAAUGUCCCUCCAGGCACUGUUGUAGAUAAUGCAGUCUGCCAUCCAAGGAAUUAUGACUUCUACAUGUGCGCUCAUGCUGGAAUGAUUGGGACUACAAGGCCAACACACUACCAUAUCCUGCAUGAUGAGAUACACUUUGCUGCGGAUGACCUGCAGGAUCUUGUGCACUCGCUCUCAUAUGUGUACCAAAGGAGCACGACAGCCAUAUCAGUUGUUUCUCCAAUCUGCUAUGCACAUCUUGCGGCUGCUCAGGUGGCGCAGUUCAUAAAGUUUGAUGAGAUGUCUGAGACGUCGUCGAGCCAGGGCGGUGGCCACACCUCUGCCGGCAGCGCUCCAGUGCAGGAGCUGCCUCGCCUCCAUGAGAAAGUCCGCAGCAGCAUGUUCUUCUGCUGA
rnacentral:rRNA from 1 species